rnacentral:rRNA from 1 species
UGGGGAAUUUUGGACAAUGGGCGAAAGCCUGAUCCAGCAAUGCCGCGUGUGUGAAGAAGGCCUUCGGGUUGUAAAGCACUUUUGUCCGGAAAGAAAUCCUUGGCUCUAAUACAGUCGGGGGAUGACAGUACCGGAAGAAUAAGCACCGGCUAACUACGUGCCAGCAGCCGCGGUAAUACGUAGGGUGCAAGCGUUAAUCGGAAUUACUGGGCGUAAAGCGUGCGCAGGCGGUUUGCUAAGACCGAUGUGAAAUCCCCGGGCUCAACCUGGGAACUGCAUUGGUGACUGGCAGGCUAGAGUAUGGCAGAGGGGGUAGAAUUCCACGUGUAGCAGUGAAAUGCGUAGAGAUGUGGAGGAAUACCGAUGGCGAAGGCAGCCCCCUGGGCCAAUACUGACGCUCAUGCACGAAAGCGUGGGGAGCAAACAGGAUUAGAUACCCUGGUAGUCCACGCCCUAAACGAUGUCAACUAGUUGUUGGGGAUUCAUUUCCUUAGUAACGUAGCUAACGCGUGAAGUUGACCGCCUGGGGAGUACGGUCGCAAGAUUAAAACUCAAAGGAAUUGACGGGGUCAUAGCUGUUUCCU